AUUGAACGCUGCGGCAUGCCUUACACAUGCAAGUCGAACGGCAGCACGGGAGCAAUCCUGGUGGCGAGUGGCGAACGGGUGAGUAAAGUAUCGGAACGUGCCCAGUCGUGGGGGAUAACGUAGCGAGAGUUACGCUAAUACCGCAUACGAUCUAUGGAUGAAAGCGGGGGAUCGCAAGACCUCGCGCGAUUGGAGCGGCCGAUAUCAGAUUAGGUAGUUGGUGGGGUAAAGGCUCACCAAGCCGACGAUCUGUAGCUGGUCUGAGAGGACGACCAGCCACACUGGGACUGAGACACGGCCCAGACUCCUACGGGAGGCAGCAGUGGGAAAUUUUGGACAAUGGGCGCAAGCCUGAUCCAGCCAUGCCGCGUGCAGGAUGAAGGCCUUCGGGUUGUAAACUGCUUUUGUACGGAACGAAAAGGUUUGACUUAAUACGUUGGACUCAUGACGGUACCGUAAGAAUAAGUACCGGCUAACUACGUGCCAGCCGCCGCCGUAA
rnacentral:rRNA from 1 species